AAUGCCAUCAGAGGUGCCUCUCCAGGGAGACCAGAGAUCAAACAGGCCGCGAUGCUCACCCUCCCUCAGCGGCAUGGUCCCGUCCCUUGCGUGCUUCACUGAGACGGACCUCGCUCUUUUGGCCCUAGCUGCGUGGCAGUCAUUCAAGCUGCAGGAUCUAGAACUGGGCUGCCUGGGUUUGAAUCCUUGAUUCUCUCUCCCCAGCUGCAUGACCACAGGCAGAGAGCUCCAAGAGGGCACAUUCGGGUCUGGUCAUAGCUGUGCACUUGAAUCCCAUCAAGAGGCUGGAAUGGAGUAGAGGCCUCAGUGUACACGGCUGCAGGAGACUAGGUAGAAAGGUGAGCUGGACUCAUGGCCAGGUGCUAGCUAAUAUAGCCCCUGCAUGAGAGAAGAGAGGCCUCAUCCCCGGUUCAGUCCUUGGCUCCUCACGCUCUCUUGAUGGAGCAGGGCCCCUGAAAAGGUGGAAGUCAUCUUCUUCCGUGAUCGUAAGCAAUCCCUCGCCUGGUUCAAGAGCAAAUCCUAUGUGAAACAAAUCAGUGACCCUGCUGCACACCUGUGCUCCCAACGACAAAUCCCAAGGCUGCUGGAAUUAUCUGAGGCCCAAAUGACAAGACCCCGGCAGUCAUGCUGACAAGCCCUCCAAACCAUGCUUCAAUCAAGGACUGUCAUCACUCACCUCGUGUCGCUCCUGGAACUCGGACAUGUCCAGCCUGAUGAAGCCCUGUGUGGAAACAAGCAAGUACCAACUCCGUUUGGAGGCAGGAAAGUGAAGAGAAGGGUUAGGGAGGAGAGCACCUCAACUAUCCCCAAGGCUUUCACACCACACCAACAUAAGAUCUUCUAUCUCACGCUCAAGAUGUUUUUUUCUGACUUCCUGUCUCCUUUUCUGUGCACUCAUUUCCUACGAGUCCCUCAUUCUCUUCCUUAAAAGACCCAAAUCAUGUACCUGACCUUCUAAAUCUGACUUGGGGUGUCUUCUUUCAGGGAGGCCUCUCCUGUUCUGAUCACCACAUCAUCCACCCACCCAUCCAUCCAUUCCACGUUUCCUGAGGGCAUCCUGUGUGUGCUGGACACCGGAGUUACAACAGGGAACAAGUCUUGGUCUCUGUCCUUAAGAAGCACCCCAUCGAAUGGUGCAGACAUGGACAAAGUCAGUCACGAUCAGUGUGGACUGUGGUGCGAGGGAGGAGAGAAACACUCAGAUGGCUCCAGAAUGCCUCUCAACUCUGCAAGUCUGUGUGAUGCCCGUGUCCCUUUGAUUUACUUUUCUUCAAAAUGAAUAUAUUUUAAAAUGUAUUUACAUUUCUUCAUUUCAUUAAAAAAGAUAUCCAUAACAUAGCUUUACAGCCCUUUUCUCUCCACCACAGGGUGUAGGGGUGAUUUCCGAGGAAGUGGCCCCAUGGGUGAGGGCCAUGGUUAGCCCUUGGGGAAGAGAACAGCUUGCAUUAUGUGAUCUGAAGAGUUAACACAGGCAGAGUGCCCACUGGUUUUCAAGAAGCAUUACCUGAUUAGGGAGCUGUAAAGGCAUCCACAGGUGCCCUGUCUAGCCACAGCCAGGACCACAGUUCCCCACAGUCCCCCGGGCUCCUCUCCUACUGGCACAUGCCUCCAUCUAAGAGACAGCAUUCACUGAAUCCUGCUUCUCCUGAGAGCCGGUGAUGAUGGGGGUGCCAAGAUUCUCAGCGGGAGGUAGCUAUGUCUGAAAUCCAGGGCUAUAUUCUAGCUUGGCCACUGGUCAGAAAUUCACGCCAUGAUGUACUUUUAGUUCUUUCUCUGUCCUGUCAUUCUACAGCUGAGACACAGGGUGGCAAGAAGAACCCUGGGCUGGGAGCCAGGGGGCUCGGGUUCCAGUCCUAGUUCUGCCUGCCUGUGGAGCCUUGGACAUGCUGCCUCCCCUUUUUGAGCUGCAGUUUUGUCCUGUGUUACAGAAGGCUCUUGGCUCCUCUCCCUGCCUCACCAGGGGUCUGAGGAUCUAAUCCAAGAGGUGGGACAGGGCUUAGAGAAGUUAUUAAGGCCACAUGGGGGAAAGCACUGCUAUCAGCACAUGGGGCAUAAGCCAGAAAGCAUUUCCAGAGGGUCCCUAGGCUGCUCAGUCAAGAGAUCUGCAGGUUUCAGGAUUUACUGGGUAUUUACUAUGUGCCUGGCAAUGUUUUAGGCAAGCUAUAAAGGGCUUAGAACAUGUACAAGUCUCUGAGGUAAGCACUACUAUCAUCUCCACUUUACAGAUGAGAAAACUAAGUCACAGAUUAAAGUAACUUGCUCAAGGUCACCUGCGCUUGGCAAUUCAGCUCCAAGUCUGUGCUCUUAGCCAUCAUGCUACACUGCCUCAUAGCUUCCUCUCUGCCAAUCAGCUGGGCUCUUGACAGUCUUCACCUUGAAGGGUGCUGAGCUUUGUGUCCAGAUGCCAAUGAAUGUCGGACGACAGAUGGACUAUAGACUCUCGUGCUUACUUAUGUCAAGUGACCUGGGUUCUCACCCUAGUUCUUCUAAUGAUUUGCUAUGUAAUUUUGAACAAGUUUUUGGGCUUGACUUUCUUGGCCGGAAUCAUCAUUUUGAUUUCACAUGAUCUUAGUGAGGCAAGAACAAUAAGAGUAACAUCCAACAUGUACUGAUUGCUUACCACAUGCCAAGAACGGCGUUUAACAUUUUACAUCACUAUCUCAUUUAACCUUCCGAACAAUCCAGUGAGACUGGCACCAUUAUGGAGCCUACUUUACAGAUGAGAAAGCUGAUGUAAACAGAGGUCCUGGCCAACUCCACCUAGUAGAGUACAGUUGGGAUUUGAACCCAAGCAGCUGGACUCAGAUAGUUGUUCUUUAUCCCUUAUCAUAUUGCUACUAUAACUAAGUCUUUUGGGCUCCACCACCCUACCUUAUGAUGAUAUCACAGAACACCAUUAAGGUUCCUUCCCAAGGCUUAUUAGCUCUAGUAAGGAAAGUUAACAGAGCCACUCAAUUUGGAAGAAAUAGUAUACAGGCUAAUGAGAGAAAAAAAUAAGUUCACAGAUCUGAUAAAGAAAUCAUAUAAAUGUACAAAGAAUGCUUCUGAAGCAGCAAGAUCUGGAGGUGUCAGUGUCUCUUUACAAAUGAAGAAACUAGGGAUCAGAGAGCCAGAACUAGAAUUCACAUCAUCAGACUCCAGGCCAGUGCUCAUUUCAUUUCGUCAGCUGUCUUGGGAGGCAAAUUAAAGGGAGCUUCUGUUUGGUAAAAGUCUAUUUUACACUGGGCUCUGAGAAUGACACUUUCCAUACAUCACUCUUUGGGUCCCAGGUACACUGGCUACGUAGCUUAAAGUCCAGGGCUCUCUUGGAUUUUGAAGGCAGGUCUCAAACAUGCCUGUCAUGUGGCUAUAAAGUGUCUACGCAAAACACAGAUUCUAUAAUGAGUUGACCCACAGGGCUAGCACAGGCAGGAGUUUCAUAGAAGCACCACCUAUGAUUUAAAAAUAAAAUACAUGGUUGUUUUUAUGGAGCUUCUCAUGCCUCUCAUCUCCCAAUGUGAAAUGGGGACACACUGGCAAGUUUCCAAUCCAGCUUCCUAGAGCAGCUGAGAACAACGGUAUCACAGUGAGGAGUUGAGAGACUGGAUUGAUUCUGGUUUUAUUUCUUCCCCUAAUAGGUGACCUUAGAUAAGCCUAAGAAUGCUGUAGGGCCUCAGUUUUCUCAUCUGAAAAGUGGGUCUAAUUUAGCAUCCAUGCUAUCUUCCCCAUAGGAUCAAAUGGGAGAGUAGAUGGGGCACUGCUAUGGUAAGUAGGAAGUGACGAAUAAAUACAAGUCAAGGAAUAGGCACUUGCUGUGUGCUCACCAUGAUGUGAUGACAUAAGUGAUGAGCACACAGCAUCGUCACUUGAUGCUCACCAUAACCUAAGAUAUGGGUUGGAGGGCUUUCACCUUGAGGCAAGAGAGCUGAAACUUCAAGGGGUAAAGUUUACCUGCCUAGGGCCAGUAGAAAGUAGAAGCACCGGAACCUGAAGCAAAGAAUGGUUGCUCCAGAGCUCUGUCCACCACAGUGCACUGCCUCCGAGGGUGGUGGUGUUACUUCCUUCUGAGUGAGGCAUGCACUGAAGGAUGCCAACAUCAUCCUGCACUGGGGUGAAUUUGUCUCCCAUUCAGUUGUGCCAACUAAAAAAUUACUUGCAUUAUUAGUCUUUUAACAAGCCCCCUCUCCUUUCUACAUCAGCAAGUCAGUAGAUACUUUCCUUCUACUUCUACUGUGUAUGAAGACAUAUGAAGACAGCUUGGAUAAGGAGAUUAUAAUUUGUAAUUAAAUAUUAACCUUUCUGACAGUAUUAAAAUUAAACCACUCAGAAUUCUUCAUCCCUAAUCAGGUGGUUCCUGCCCAUAACUACAUCUUCCCUAAUAGUCCUGCUAGUUUAUGGCCCUUUCCAGAGUGCUAAUUGUUUCAAUCGCUGCCAACCUGAUGAAUUGACUUAAAAAUGCUAUCUCGGUCGGAGCGCAUUAGCAUGCUAUGCGCUGCUUCUUGCUUGCCUGCUUGUCAAGUGGGUCUGCUCCAGGUUUGGUGGAGGCAGAGCACAGCUACUGGCAGAGCUAGGGGGAGUUUAAGAGCCUUCAGCCAUUUAUGAAGCAGAAGGGGGCUCAGGAGGACACAAUCUGAGCUACCUUGUUUCUGUGGCUGCCAGUGGGGCAGGCAAGCCAGAAAGAGAACAGGAGUCCAAGACUCUGUGCUGCUGGGGCCACUUGGCUGGCAGAGGCCCAAGAAACUCCUCAUUGCCUUGGCCAGGGAGGCUUUCCUUAGAAAGGCAAGAGCAUCUGGGGUCUCGGGCGACCUCCUGCCCUGGAUGCUGGGAAGGCUGGUAGGAGAAUGUUUGGCUUUCAGUGAAAUGUUUUUGCACUCUCUCCGAGGACUGCUGUCUCUGCACAAAAGCAUUUCCUUUCUCCCUAAAAAGUUAAACUGAGCAGGCCUUGGAAAGCCUGAGUGUGAACAAACAGGGGAUGGGGAUGGCCCUCUCCUGUGGAGAAUCCAGGGCUCUGAGCCAUGGAGGAAGGGGGACUAUAAGUAUCCCAGGCUCAAGACAUAAGAAACCAUGUUUAAAAGCUCAUGCAGGAUAGUGAGAGGCAACAAGGCAUCCUCUUAUUCCCACUUGUUUUCUCCUACAGCCCCCAAGACUCCCAUUAGCACAGCCAUGACUGCACUGAACAGUAAUGUUGUCUUUCUGAAGCUGUUUCCCCCUCCAACCUGAGCUCCUUGGAGCAGGGGGAGUGUCUUAAUAAAUGCUGUAUUAGCAGCAUCUAGUACAACACCUGGCAUGGCACAGAUGCUUGAAAAUGUUGUAUGGUAGAUCUCACUUUGUUUCCUCAAGAGUCAGGCAGGGCAAGGAUUAUUAUUCCUAUUUUACAGAUGAAGAAACUGAGGCACAAAGAGGUGGGAUAACUUGCCCAAAUCUCUGGAGCAACUGGUGGCCAAGUUGGGGCCAGAGCUGAGGUCUGCUUCCUGGGUCAGGGCCCAUCUUUUUGAUUGCCUAUUACUGAAUUCAGAGGGUCAGAUUUUUUGGGAUAGCAGGAAUGGUGAGGUCUCCACGAUCUGCAGAUCAGACCUAGGUCCCAGUUCUUACCUUUUUAGCAUCUUUGUGCAUAUAUUUGGCUGUCUGCUUGGCCAGCUCUGUUUUUCCUAGUAAGAAAGAAGGGGGAGGUGUUGGGUUAGAACCAGGUGACUAACCGCUGGAAUGAAAGAAUACUAGAAAUGCACGGACACUAGAAAGAAUAUAUUCUAUGGAUGAGAAUGUUGAGGCGCAGAAAGGAUCAGCGACUCUCCCACAGUCACCUAGGGAGUUAAUGGUGAAGCUGGGACCAAAAUCAAAGUCUGCACCUGCAUCUUAAUUUUUCUGGGAUUGGGAUUGAGGCCUUUUCUCUGUAGCACCAUCCUAAGAGUGACAGGCUGACUUUAUAAUCCAGAACCAACUUGCUUUUUAAAGCCCAGUACAAACCUCACCUCUUCUAGGAGUCCCCAGGCCUCCUGGCUCACUGCCCUGCAUCCCUCUCAAUACCCACAGUCCUGCCAUUUAGCCAGGCCCUGGAACCACAUGGCAGAUAGAGGGUGGGAGGGGCUGAAGAGUACCUCUCACUGUGGCUUCACGGUCCUUCUUUGUAACACAGAGAAGGAAUGACAAUACUGAAGUGGGGGCUCUGAAGGGCCAUUUGGUGGAUGGUAA
rnacentral:lncRNA from 10 species